UGGUCGGCAUGACUCCCGAGGUUUUCAGUGUGAGUCGGUGCGAUUAGG
rfam:Solanum tuberosum cultivar DM 1-3 516 R44 scf00095_57, whole genome shotgun sequence.